rnacentral:rRNA from 1 species
AGCAGCCGCGGUAAUUCCAGCUCCAAUAGCGUAUAUUAAAGUUGUUGCAGUUAAAAAGCUCGUAGUUGAAUUUCGGGAUCAAUUUGCUGGUCGGAACCUCUGGUACGUACUGGUAUUAUUGAUUUCUUUCAUUCUGAUAGAUCAUGGAUGUCAUUAAUUUGAUGACUUUGAGGAAUCGGAACUUUUACUUUGAAAAAAUUAGAGUGUUUAAAGCAGGCUUAUCAGGCUUGAAUACAUUAGCAUGGAAUAAUGAAAUAGGACGAUUGAUCCUAUUUUUGUUGGUUUCUAGGAUUGACGUAAUGAUUAAUAGGGAUAGUUGGGGGCAUUAGUAUUCAAUUGUCAGAGGUGAAAUUCUUUGGAUUCAUUGGAAAGACUAACUACUGCGAAAGCAUUUGCCAAGGAUGUUUUCAUUAAUCAAGAACGAAAG